GACACGUGAAAUCCUGUCUGAAUAUGGGGGGACCAUCCUCCAAGGCUAAAUACUCAUCAUCGACCGAUAGUGAACCAGUACCGUGAGGGAAAGGCGAAAAGAACCCCGGGAGGGGAGUGAAAUAGAACCUGAAACCUGAUGCAUACAAACAGUGGGAGCACCCAUGUGGUGUGACUGCGUACCUUUUGUAUAAUGGGUCAACGACUUACAUUCAGUAGCGAGCUUAACCGAAUAGGGGAGGCGUAGGGAAACCGAGUCUUAAUAGGGCGAAGAGUUGCUGGGUGUAGACCCGAAACCGAGUGAUCUAUCCAUGGCCAGGUUGAAGGUGCCGUAACAGGUACUGGAGGACCGAACCCACGCAUGUUGCAAAAUGCGGGGAUGAGCUGUGGAUAGGGGUGAAAGGCUAAACAAACUCGGAGAUAGCUGGUUCUCCCCGAAAACUAUUUAGGUAGUGCCUCGAGCAAGACACUGAUGGGGGUAAAGCACUGUUAUGGCUAGGGGGUUAUUGCAACUUACCAACCCAUGGCAAACUAAGAAUACCAUCAAGUGGUUCCUCGGGAGACAGACAGCGGGUGCUAACGUCCGUUGUCAAGAGGGAAACAACCCAGACCGCCAGCUAAGGUCCCAAAUGAUAGAUUAAGUGGUAAACGAAGUGGGAAGGCCCAGACAGCCAGGAUGUUGGCUUAGAAGCAGCCAUCAUUUAAAGAAAGCGUAAUAGCUCACUGGUCGAGUCGUCCUGCGCGGAAGAUGUAACGGGGCUCAAAUCUAUAACCGAAGCUGCGGAUGCUAGUUUACUAGCAUGGUAGGGGAGCGUUCUGUAGGCCGAAGAAGGUGCAUUGUAAAGUGUGCUGGAGGUAUCAGAAGUGCGAAUGUUGACAUGAGUAGCGAUAAAGCGGGUGAAAAGCCCGCUCGCCGAAAGCCCAAGGUUUCCUACGCAACGUUCAUCGGCGUAGGGUGAGUCGGCCCCUAAGGCGAGGCAGAAAUGCGUAGUCGAUGGGAAACAGGUUAAUAUUCCUGUACUUGAUUCAAAUGCGAUGUGGGGACGGAGAAGGUUAGGUUAGCAAGCUGUUGGAAUAGCUUGUUUAAGCCGGUAGGUGGAAGACUUAGGCAAAUCCGGGUCUUCUUAACACCGAGAAGUGACGACGAGUGUCUACGGACAUGAAGUAACCGAUACCACGCUUCCAGGAAAAGCCACUAAGCUUCAGUUUGAAUUGAACCGUACCGCAAACCGACACAGGUGGGCAGGAUGAGAAUUCUAAGGCGCUUGAGAGAACUCGGGAGAAGGAACUCGGCAAAUUGAUACCGUAACUUCGGGAGAAGGUAUGCCCUCUAAGGUUAAGGACUUGCUCCGUAAGCCUCGGAGGGUCGCAGAGAAUAGGUGGCUGCGACUGUUUAUUAAAAACACAGCACUCUGCUAACACGAAAGUGGACGUAUAGGGUGUGACGCCUGCCCGGUGCUGGAAGGUUAAUUGAAGAUGUGAGAGCAUCGGAUCGAAGCCCCAGUAAACGGCGGCCGUAACUAUAACGGUCCUAAGGUAGCGAAAUUCCUUGUCGGGUAAGUUCCGACCCGCACGAAAGG
rnacentral:rRNA from 1 species